rnacentral:rRNA from 1 species
AUUGAACGCUGGCGGCAGGCCUAACACAUGCAAGUCGAGCGGAUCGGCGGACGGGUGCGUAAUGCUUAGGAAUCUGCCUGGUCGUGGGGGAUAACGUCCGCUACCGGGCGCUAAUACCGCUUACUCUUACCUUAGCCUAGGUCGGAUUAGCUAGUUGGUGGGGUAAAGGCCUACCAAGGCGACGAUCCGUAACUGGUCUGAGAGGAUGACCAGUCACACUGGAACUGAGACACGGUCCAGACUCCUACGGGAGGCAGCAGUGGGGAAUAUUGGACAAUGGGCGAAAGCCUGAUGCAGCCAUGCCGCGUGUGUGAAGAAGGUCUUCGGAUUGUAAAGCACUUUAAGUUGGGAGGCGUUACCAACAGAAUAAGCACCGGCUAACUUCGUGCCAGCCGCCGCGGUAAUAC